rnacentral:rRNA from 1 species
GAUGAACGCUGGCGGCGUGCAUAACACAUUCAAGUCGAACGGACGAGGGGCUUCGGCCCCGAGUUAGUGGCGGACGGGUGAGUAACGCGUGAGCAACCUGCCCUUGUUUACGGAAUAACGUCUGGAAACGGACGCUAAUACCGUAUGAUGCAACGAAAUCGCAUGGUUUUGUUGCCAAAGAUUUAUCGAACAAGGAUGGGCUCGCGUCCGAUUAGAUAGUUGGUGAGGUAACGGCCCACCAAGCCGACGAUCGGUAGCCGACCUGAGAGGGUGAUCGGCCACAUUGGGACUGAGACACGGCCCAAACUCCUACGGGAGGCAGCAGUGGGGAAUAUUGGGCAAUGGGGGAAACCCUGACCCAGCAACGCCGCGUGGAGGAAGAAGGCUUUCGGGUCGUAAACUUUUGUCUGGAGGGACGAAAUUUGACGGUACCUCCGGAGGAAGCCACGGCUAACUACGUG